rnacentral:rRNA from 1 species
CAGCAGCCACGGGAAUACAGAGGGUGCGAGCGUUAAUCGGAUUUACUGGGCGUAAAGCGUGCGUAGGCGGCUAAUUGAGUCGGAUAUGAAAUCCCCGAGCUUAACUUGGGAAUUGCAUUCGAUACUGGUUAGCUAGAGUGUGGGAGAGGAUGGUAGAAUUCCAGGUGUAGCGGUGAAAUGCGUAGAGAUCUGGAGGAAUACCGAUGGCGAAGGCAGCCAUCUGGCCUAACACUGACGCUGAGGUACGAAAGCAUGGGGAGCAAACAGGAUUAGAUACCCCAGUAGUCCCUGUCUCUUAUAC